rnacentral:lncRNA from 1 species
GAGGGCAAGAAGAGCAAGGGCGCCUCCGCCAAGGUGGCCUACCCGCUCCCCGAGGGUGUGAAGGCGACCGUGGAGGUCAAGGACGACAAGUCCGCCAAGGUUGAGCUCGCCAAGGACCAGUUCACCCUGGAGGUUCCCAUUGCUGACCUCACCGCGCCCUCGCUCUCCGCGGAUAACCUCACCCUCAAGGUGAAGUACUCCAUGGACUUCGACAUGUAAGUUUCAAGCCACAGUGUAUCCUCUUGAUGAACUUCGAGAGUGUUUCGACUUAUUCAUUGUAAGGUGUUAAGUUGGCUACGGACGCGUUAUGGAUUGGAUUAUUAU